AUUGAACGCUGGCGGCAGGCCUAACACAUGCAAGUCGAGCGGAUGAAGGGAGCUUGCUCCUGGAUUCAGCGGCGGACGGGUGAGUAAUUCCUAGGAAUCUGCCUGGUAGUGGGGGAUAACGUCCGGAAACGGGCGCUAAUACCGCAUACGUCCUGAGGGAGAAAGUGGGGGAUCUUCGGACCUCACGCUAAUAGAUGAGCCUAGGUCGGAUUAGCCAGUUGGUGGGGUAAAGGCCUACCAAGGCGACGAUCCGUAACUGGUCUGAGAGGAUGAUCAGUCACAUGGGAACUGGGAAACGGUCCAGACUCCUACGGGAGGCAGCAGUGGGGAAUAUUGGACAAUGGGCGAAAGCCUGAUCCAGCCAUGCCGCGUGUGUGAAGAAGGUCUUCGGAUUGUAAAGCACUUUAAGUUGGGAGGAAGGGCAGUAAGUUAAUACCUUGCUGUUUUGACGUUACCAACAGAAUAAGCACCGGCUAACUUCGUG
rnacentral:rRNA from 1 species